rnacentral:rRNA from 1 species
ACGGGAGGCAGCAGUGGGGAAUAUUGCACAAUGGGGGAAACCCUGAUGCAGCGACGCCGCGUGAGUGAAGAAGUAUUUCGGUAUGUAAAGCUCUAUCAGCAGGGAAGAUAAUGACGGUACCUGACUAAGAAGCACCGGCUAAAUACGUGCCAGCAGCCGCGGUAAUAAGUAUGGUGCAAGCGUUAUCCGGAUUUACUGGGUGUAAAGGGAGCGUAGACGGCAAGGCAAGUCUGAAGUGAAAGCCUGGGGCUCAACCCCGGAACUGCUUUGGAAACUGUCUGGCUAGAGUGCAGGAGAGGUAAGUGGAAUUCCUAGUGUAGCGGUGAAAUGCGUAGAUAUUAGGAGGAACACCAGUGGCGAAGGCGGCUUACUGGACUGUAACUGACGUUGAGGCUCGAAAGCGUGGGGAGCAAACAGGAUUAGAUACCCUGGUA